UCGAACGCGUCUUGGUUAUUGAUGUUGGAUGCUUGCAUUUAACUGAUUUAACAUUGAGACGAGUGGCGAACUGGUGAGUAACACGUGGGUAACCUGCCCUUGAAGUAGGGGAUAACACUUGGAAACAGGUGCUAAUACCGUAUAACAACCAAAACCACCUGGUUUUGGUUUAAAAGAUGGCUUCGGCUAUCACUUUAGGAUGGACCCGCGGCGUAUUAGCUUGUUGGUAAGGUAACGGCCUACCAAGGCAAUGAUACGUAGCCGACCUGAGAGGGUAAUCGGCCACAUUGGGACUGAGACACGGCCCAAACUCCUACGGGAGGCAGCAGUAGGGAAUCUUCCACAAUGGACGAAAGUCUGAUGGAGCAACGCCGCGUGAGUGAUGAAGGGUUUCGGCUCGUAAAACUCUGUUGUUGGAGAAGAACAGGUGUGAGAGUAACUGUUCACAUCUUGACGGUAUCCAACCAGAAAGCCACGGCUAACUACGUGCCAGCAGCCGCGGUAAUACGUAGGUGGCAAGCGUUGUCCGGAUUUAUUGGGCGUAAAGCGAGCGCAGGCGGUUUCUUAGGUCUGAUGUGAAAGCCUUCGGCUUAACCGGAGAAGUGCAUCGGAAACCAGGAGACUUGAGUGCAGAAGAGGACAGUGGAACUCCAUGUGUAGCGGUGAAAUGCGUAGAUAUAUGGAAGAACACCAGUGGCGAAGGCGGCUGUCUGGUCUGUAGCUGACGCUGAGGCUCGAAAGCAUGGGUAGCGAACAGGAUUAGAUACCCUGGUAGUCCAUGCCGUAAACGAUGAGUGCUAAGUGUUGGAGGGUUUCCGCCCUUCAGUGCUGCAGCUA
rnacentral:rRNA from 1 species